UGGGGAAUCUUGCGCAAUGGGGGAAUCCCUGACGCAGCGACGCCGCGUGCGGGAUGAAGGCCUUCGGGUUGUAAACCGCUUUCAGCAGGGACGAGGCCUUAUGGUGACGGUACCUGCAGAAGAAGCUCCGGCUAAAUACGUGCCAGCAGCCGCGGUAAUACGUAUGGAGCAAGCGUUAUCCGGAUUCAUUGGGCGUAAAGCGCUCGUAGGCGGUCUGUUAGGUCGGCAAGUUAAAUCCGGGGGCUCAACCCCCGUCCGCUUCCGAUACCGGCAGACUUGAGUUUGGUAGAGGAAGGUGGAAUUCCUAGUGUAGCGGUGGAAUGCGCAGAUAUUAGGAAGAACACCGGUGGCGAAGGCGGCCUUCUGGGCCAUAACUGACGCUGAGGAGCGAAAGCUAGGGGAGCGAACAGG
rnacentral:rRNA from 1 species